rnacentral:lncRNA from 1 species
GUAUAGUCCGAGAAGGGGAAUAGCUGGGUCAAAUGGUGGUUCCAUUCUCAGCUUUCCAAGGAAUCUCCAUACUGCUUUCCAAAUUGGCUGCACCAAUUUGCAGUCCCACCAGCAAUGUAUGAGUGUACCUUUUUCCCCGCUGGCGAGGAUGCCAGCACUUAUUGUUGUUUGACUUCAUAAUGGCUGCCAUUCUUAUUGGAGUGAGAUGGUAUCUUAUAGUAG